rnacentral:rRNA from 1 species
UACGGAGGGUGCAAGCGUUGUCCGGAUUUAUUGGGAUUAAAGGGUGCGUAGGCGGUUAAUUAAGUCAGUGGUGAAAUCCUGGAGCUCAACUUCAGAACUGCCAUUGAUACUGGUUGACUUGAGUACAGACGAGGUUGGCGGAAUUGAUGGUGUAGCGGUGAAAUGCAUAGAUACCAUCAAGAACACCGAUUGCGAAAGCAGCUAACUAGGCUGUAACUGACGCUGAGGCACGAAAGUGUGGGGAUCAAACAGG